AUUGCAAGUGACGAUAAAACAGACAGGGACAUCUGCACUCUUCGGAGGGUGAUGACUUAGUCUAAUGGGAAUCUCUCUGAUGCAUU
rfam:Prunus persica cultivar Lovell chromosome G5, whole genome shotgun sequence.